CUCAGAUUAUGAUUGGUGUGAAAUGCAUCUUUUAUGGGAUAAUUGGAUUUCUUCUUCUUGAUUCUGAAACGUACAGAAUCAUUUUCUUCUCGAUUUACACAGGCUUCCCUAUAUGGGGGGCAUUGUCUUUUAUCAUCUCUGGAUCUCUGACUGUUGCGUCUGCCAAGAAGCAAACAAAAUCACUGCUGAGAGGGAAUCUAGGCGCCAACACUCUCAGCACCUUCAUCUCGAUUGCUGGGAUCUGUAUUUUGUCGUACAAUUUAACAAAAAAUAUCCACCAUGAUUGCGAGAAGGAACCUCUCUGUUUGGGCAUCAAAUCAAUUGCAACUGGACUUGUGAUUGUCCUAAUGAUCCUAACUUGUCUGCAAAUUUUAAUUUCACUUCCUCUCUCCAUGCUCAGUUAUAAUGUGGAUGACGAGAAUAUUCACUGGAUUUAUGUAUUGCUUUGCUGGAAAUCACCUUCUGAAGGUCUUUAUCAAGACUUGUUGCCUCAAACUAUAAUAUAUCAAGAACUUGAACGCAAAGAAGAUACACCUUCACGUUAUCCCACAGAUACUAACAAACAAAUAUGAGUCUGCACCUCUGUAUUUUGGAUCCACAGUGAUAGCAAGAAGCUCAUACUGUGGCCACUGAGGCAUGAAUACACACCUGUGAAGAUACAUAAGCAUAGAGUUCAGGGUCACAAAGAGAGCAACUAGCAUUUAUAACAUUGAGAUUUUGGUUGUUGCCACUUUUUUUGUUAGGGUUGGAUGUCAUCACAGACUAGGUUUAUGCUCUGUUACAAAACUUAACCUUGAAAUAUUGGUGGCUUAACACAUCAGAAGUUCAUUUGCUAUCUACUUUACAUGUUCUUUACUUCACUUUAGAUGCACACUGAUAUGAGUUCUACCAAAUAGAACAAUAUCUCAAAAAGUUUUUUUUUUUUAAUUUUCUCAAGAUAGGGAAAGAAAAUGUUAGAAGUUGGACCUUUAGCAAUUAGUUGUUCUAGAAAAAGCAAGUGUCACUUUUUGCCACAAUCCUUUAAACAGUCAUCUUCCCAGCACUGUGUGGGAGACAGGAAAUGUAGGCUGACAUCAAGUUAAGAAGCUUAAUUUUUGAUGAAAACCACUGAAGUAAACAUAGAGUUUCCUGAAGUAAUUGUGAAAAUUGUUUGCAUGAAGUCUUUGGUCCAUCAUUUUUACACUCUGUGACUUUGGAUGUGCAUCUUCCCUGACUAAAGAUCAGUUUGCUUAUCUCUCAAAUGGUCUAGCUUGUGCUUACUCAGUUCAGAUUGGGAUAUCUAUCAAGGAAAACAGUUAAUAUAGGUUUAAAAAAAAAUCCCAAACUUUUAACUAUAUGAGGUACUAUAGAUUAUAAUAUUUUAUUAAUAUCAUGUUAGGUUAAUUAUUUAUACUGCAUCAUUCUAAGUACAUUAAGGUUUUCUGAUGAUAUUUUAUGUAAAUAGUCAUAUAUAAAAACUUGUGUUGUUUAAUUGACCCACUGACAAUUAAUCAAAGCAUUACCCCAUUCCUCUUGAAUAAUACAACCAAAACUUUUCAAAGUCUAAUAAAAUUAAUACUAUUUCCCA
rnacentral:lncRNA from 1 species